rnacentral:sRNA from 1 species
AAAUUGCGUAAGGGAUGGAAGUGGCAUCCUUUUAUGAAUUCCUGAUCCCGAAGCUUCGGGAUUGGGAAUUCAUAAAAGAUACAACGGAUAGCCCGACCCGCA